rnacentral:sRNA from 1 species
GGCCCUCAAUCUGGAAUCUCAAAUGGUAUUCUCACGGGAUCCCGAGGCUGAAGAAAUAGAAGCUGAAUAUGCUGCAUUAGACAAACGAGAGUAUUCUAAAUAUCCUGUCAUCUUCAUAGCCAUAAAGUAUAAAAAUACAUCUAGGCCAACCACGGUGGCUCAUGCCUAUAGUUCCAGUGCUUUGGGAGGCCAAGGCACCGGAGUUCUGAGACCAGCCUGGGCUAUAGCAAGACUCUGUCUACAAAAAAUUUUAAAAAUUUGCCAGGAAUGGUGGCCCACACUCGUUGUCCUAACUACUCAGGAGGCUGAGGCAAGAGGAUCGCUUGAGCCCAAGAGUUCAAGGCUGCCAUGAGCUAUGAUCAUGCCAGGGCACUCCAGCCUGGUGACAAAGUGAGACCCUGUCUCUAACUUUAAAAAUAAAUAAAUAAUAACAUCUAG